GAUGAACGCUGGCGGCGUGCCUAAUACAUGCAAGUCGAGCGAACGGACGAGAAGCUUGCUUCUCUGAUGUUAGCGGCGGACGGGUGAGUAACACGUGGAUAACCUACCUAUAAGACUGGGAUAACUUCGGGAAACCGGAGCUAAUACCGGAUAAUAUUUUGAACCGCAUGGUUCAAAAGUGAAAGACGGCCUUGCUGUCACUUAUAGAUGGAUCCGCGCUGCAUUAGGUAGUUGGUAAGGUAACGGCUUACCAAGGCAACGAUGCAUAGCCGACCUGAGAGGGUGAUCGGCCACACUGGAACUGAGACACGGUCCAGACUCCUACGGGAGGCAGCAGUAGGGAAUCUUCCGCAAUGGGCGAAAGCCUGACGGAGCAACGCCGCGUGAGUGAUGAAGGUCUUCGGAUCGUAAAACUCUGUUAUUAGGGAAGAACAUAUGUGUAAGUAACUGUGCACAUCUUGACGGUACCUAAUCAGAAAGCCACGGCUAACUACGUG
rnacentral:rRNA from 1 species